AGGACGAACGCUGGCGGCGUGCCUAACACAUGCAAGUCGAACGGAGUUAAGACUUCGGUUUUAACUUAGUGGCGGACGGGUGAGUAACGCGUGAGCAACCUGCCCUUGUGUACGGGAUACCGUCUGGAAACGGACGUUAAUACCGUAUGACCCAAUAGUACGGCAUCGUACAGUUGGCAAAGAUUUAUUGCACAAGGAUGGGCUCGCGUCUGAUUAGAUAGUUGGUGAGGUAACGGCUCACCAAGUCGACGAUCAGUAGCCGGACUGAGAGGUUGAACGGCCACAUUGGAACUGAGAUACGGUCCAGACUCCUACGGGAGGCAGCAGUGGGGAAUAUUGGGCAAUGGGCGAAAGCCUGACCCAGCGACGCCGCGUGAGGGAAGAAGGUCUUCGGAUUGUAAACCUUAAACAACAGGGACGAAACAAAUGACGGUACCUGUUAGGAAGCCACGGCUAACUACGUG
rnacentral:rRNA from 1 species